rnacentral:rRNA from 1 species
CAAUAGCGUAUAUUUAAGUUGUUGCAGUUAAAAAGCUCGUAGUUGGAUUUCGGGUGGGACGCAGCGGUCUCGCAUUGCGUUUGUACUGCUGCAGCCCUCCUUCUUGCCGGGGGCGGCCUCUCGGACUUCACUGUCUGGGGGUCAGAAUCGGCGAUGUUACUUUGAGUAAAUUAGAGUGUUCAAAGCAAGCUUACGCUCUGAAUAUAAUAGCAUGGGAUAACACGACAGGACUCUGGCCUAUCGUGUUGGUCUAUAGGACCAGAGUAAUGAUUAAGAGGGACAGUCGGGGGCAUUCGUAUUCCGUUGUCAGAGGUGGAAUUCUUGGAUUUACGGAAGACGAACAUCUGCGAAAGCAUUUGCCAAGGAUGUUUUCAUUGA